rnacentral:rRNA from 1 species
AACGAACGCUGGCGGCAUGCCUAACACAUGCAAGUCGAACGAGACCUUCGGGUCUAGUGGCGCACGGGUGCGUAACGCGUGGGAAUCUGCCCUUGGGUGCGGAAUAACAGUUAGGAAUGACUGCUAAUACCGCAUAAUGACUCCGGUCCAAAGAUUUAUCGCCCAGGGAUGAGCCCGCGUCGGAUUAGCUAGUUGGUAGGGUAAAAGCCUACCAAGGCAACGAUCCGUAGCUGGUCUGAGAGGAUGAUCAGCCACACUGGGACUGAGACACGGCCCAGACUCCUACGGGAGGCAGCAGUGGGGAAUAUUGGACAAUGGGCGAAAGCCUGAUCCAGCAAUGCCGCGUGAGUGAUGAAGGCCUUAGGGUUGUAAAGCUCUUUUACCCGGGAUGAUAAUGACAGUACCGGGAGAAUAAGCCCCGGCUAACUCCGUGCCAGCAGCCGCGGUAAAAC